rnacentral:ncRNA from 1 species
CAUAGGUAGUGGCUUGGUUAAGGGAAUAGAACCCACUAGAGCCGUAGCGAAAGCGAGUCUUCAUAGGGRGAUUGUCACUGCUUAUGGACCCGAACCUGGGUAAUCUAUCAAUGACUAGGAUGAAGCUCGGAUGAAACUAAGUAGAGGUCUAGACCGACUGAUGUUGAAGAAUCAGCGGAUGGGUUGUGGUUAGGGGUGAAAUGCACUCGAACCCAGAGCUAGAUGG